rnacentral:rRNA from 1 species
AACGAACGCUGGCGGCGUGGCUAAGGCAUGCAAGUCGAACGGAUCUAUCCAACGGGUAACUGAAGGGUAGAUUAGUGGCGAACGGGUGAGGAAUACAUGGACAACGUACCCUGGACACGGGGAGUAGCGGCGGGCCGCAAGGCUCUUUAGCGAAAGUGCCGGUAAUACCCGAUGAUCCCGCAUGGUCGCAUGAUCGUGUGGGCAAAGCUCCGACGGUCUGGGAUCGGUUCAUGCCCUAUCAGCUAGUUGGUGAGGUAACGGCUCACCAAGGCGGCGACGGGUACCGGGCGUGAGAGCGUGACCCGGCACAUCGGAACUGAGAUACGGUCCGGACACCUACGGGUGGCUGCAGCAACGAAUAUUCCGCAAUGGACGAAAGUCUGACG